CGGACAUCUUUAACGCAGAAGCCGCACCCAGUGCCCCGCGACCCCGGCCACGCCCAGAGCUCCGCCCCUUGUGGAGCUCCGCCCCCGAGAGGCUGCUCCCAGCCAGAAGGCUGGGGCUUCUCUUGAGAAGGAAAUUCCAAUGUGUAGCCAGGGUUAAGAACUCCUAAGAGAAAACUCUUAAGAGGAAAGUACAGAUUGAUGAAGCUGAGAGAAGAGGACAGAAGAUCAACAGUGGCACACACUGCUAAGAGGUCUGGUGUUGAUCCCAAGAGUUCUCCCUAUUAAAACUCCUACAUGCUGAUUUCCAUCCCAAUCUACUUCCUUCAGAACCCAGUCUGCAUCAUUUGGUCUUAGGAGUCCAAGAAAGCAGACACUCAGAUAUACAGUAUUUAGCCAUUGAUUUCCAUUCCUAUCAAAAAG